GCGGGAGUCGCCAAAUCCGGCUCAAGGCAAUCGGCUGCAAAGAGAUGAUGAGCAAUUGCAAGAUUGCUAUGAAAAGUAGAUCCCGAUCAUUUGAGGGUUCAAAUCCCUCCUCCCGCU
rnacentral:tRNA from 1 species